UACAGAGGUCUCAAGCGUUGUUCGGAUUCAUUGGGCGUAAAGGGUGCGUGAGGUGGCGCCAUAAGUCAGGUGUGAAAUCUCGGGGCUCAACCCCGAAACUGCACUUGAUACUGUGGUGCUCGAGUACUGGAGAGGAGAUUGGAAUUUACGGUGUAGCAGUGAAAUGCGUAGAUAUCGUAAGGAAGACCAGUGGCGAAGGCGAAUCUCUGGACAGUUACUGACACUGAGGCACGAAGGCCAGGGGAGCAAACGGG
rnacentral:rRNA from 1 species